rnacentral:rRNA from 1 species
UGCCAGCCGCCGCGGUAAUACGGAGGGUGCAAGCGUUGUUCGGAAUUACUGGGCGUAAAGCGCGCGUAGGCGGCUUUUUAAGUCAGAUGUGAAAGUCCACGGCUCAACCGUGGAAGUGCAUUUGAAACUGGAAAGCUUGAGUAUCAGAGGGGAUGGUGGAAUUCCCGGUGUAGAGGUGAAAUUCGUAGAUAUUGUGAAGAAUACCAAUGGCGAAGGCAGCCUCCUGGAUCUGUACUGACACUGAGGUGCGAAAGCGUGGGUAGCGAACAGGAUUAGAUA